rnacentral:rRNA from 1 species
AUUGAACGCCGGCGGCAUGCUUUACACAUGCAAGUCGAACGGUAACAGGGUGCUUGCACCGCUGACGAGUGGCGAACGGGUGAGUAAUGCGUCGGAACGUGCCGAGUAGUGGGGGAUAACGCAGCGAAAGUUGUGCUAAUACCGCAUACGUACUGAGGUAGAAAGUGGGGGACCUUCGGGCCUCACGCUAUUCGAGCGGCCCACGUCUGAUUAGCUAGUAGGUGAGGUAAAGGCUCACCUAGGCGACGAUCAGUAGCGGGUCUGAGAGGAUGAUCCGCCACACUGGGACUGAGACACGGCCCAGACUCCUACGGGAGGCAGCAGUGGGGAAUUUUGGACAAUGGGCGAAAGCCUGAUCCAGCCAUGCCGCGUGUCUGAAGAAGGCCUUCGGGUUGUAAAGGACUUUUGUCAGGGAGGAAAUCCCUAGUGCUAAUAACACUGGGGGAUGACAGUACCUGAAGAAUAAGCACCGGCUAACUACGUGCCAGCAGCCGCCGUAA